rnacentral:lncRNA from 1 species
GAAAUAGACAGCCGGAAAUGUAAAAGAUAAGGAUAAAUGUAAACAAACAGCAAAGUACUCGCUUAACUCUUAAUUGGUCAUUGGUAACUACCAAAAAACUAUGAAGAUUAAUUCACACAUUACUAAUAAGUAAUGAAAAUUGUUAUAAACACAACUAGGUUGUAAAAAUUCACUGCAAUGUUCGAUAAAAUAGUAUUUUUCACAUUUAUUUAACUUUUUGGGGACUUUUGAAGUCUAGAAAGAGAUGACAUGUACGUUAGGUUUAAUGCUUAUAAUGGGUGAGAUGUUACAAAGACAGCACGGAAAACAAAACAAUGUGCAUGUAGUUGCACUUCCACAACUCAACAAAACAUGUGACUAAUUUGAGCUGAAAGCUGCCAUUGUAAAUGGGAAUGUUGUAAUGUGUGACUUUCUUAACAAAAGGAGAAGUGUCAUGUAGAAAGCAAUGCCAACAUUCAUGGGAAUGCCAGGAAUCUCAAAAGAGCUUUUAGAAGAUGUAGAUGAUUUCAUUAAGUAGUGAUGCUGAAAAUUUGAAUCGAAAGACGAUAUCAUUUGGUUGAUGAGUUUUUAAAUUAGCCAAAUUGCUUAGGUUUCUUAGAAGCCAGUGAGAAUACUUAUAACACGCCUUAAUGACGGAAUACAUGAUGGAAUAAAAAUGAAUUUUCAAGAUAUUUAAUUUAACAUGAAGCAAAUUCACUUCCAAGAAAAUCGCCGAUUUGAAUCGGAAAAGAAAACUAUAAAUAUUUAUGUGCAAAUAUUAGUAAAUAAAUUAUUUUGUGUUAAA